CUGCCCGCGGGGAGCGCAGCGCUGAGCCGCGCGCGGCCUCCGGAGCCUCCCAGUCGCCCGGCCCGAGGCUCCCCCUCGCCCUUAGCCCUGGCGUGCUAGAGAGCUGGGCUGGAGGCGAAAGCUUCUAAUACCACCCAGGUGUCGAGUCUAAUUUCUCUCAUCUAGGGAGCUAGGAAACGUUAGCCAGCAGUCCGGAGGCCCAGGGACUGUAGCGAGCGCCUCCUAAUCUCUCUAGGCUGCUGAAUAAGGCAGCUGGGGGCGGGGAGGGGGAGGGAAGGAGGAGGGGAGGGGUGGAGAGGAGAGGGGAGGGGAUGGCGCGAAGAACCGCUUGGGAGGAGGGCUGGGAGAGGCAGCUGCUUUCACUACCUAGCUGGGUGAGAGAGAGAGGUGAAGGAACAAGUGCGUUGAUUGUUUUUGCAGCAUGCAGACGGUGUUUAUUCCAAUUGUUAUACUCGCAAUGCUGAUGCUAUUUGCAAUUCUGUAAAGCUCUGCCACAUCUUAACUCAGCCGUCUGCUAGAGUUAAUGUUACCUUUCUCCUGUAGUUUUUAACCUGGGAUCUAGAGCUCUUACACAGCUUUUACGGUUUGCACAAUGAAAUUUAUUUCAUCUGUUGUUGGCGUUGAUCUUGUUUUUCCUUUGGCAUUGAGUGUACAGCUUUCAUAAACCUUUACAUGUAGGGACAAUGGAAAUGCCUCUAAACUUUGUAUCUGUGCUUGCAACUGUCUUCUAUACAACGUUUUGGCAAGUUAGAGUCCUCUCUUGGAACUGCUGUUGGCAUUUGCGAUUUCAGUAUCAAAACAGACAUUUCAUAUAUCCAUGUUGGUCUAGGAGUAUUAUUAUAGCUAUUUGCUGACUUCUGCAGGGAACCAGGUUCGUAGAAUUGUUUACAGAGAUAAUUUAUAAUUGACCUCUUCAGUGGUUGGUUCUACACUGGCAAUUUUAAUACUGGACAACUGAGGACUCCAGAGGAAAUAUUCAUAUGAGGUUGUUUGAACAGUAAUGAAAUCAAAUUGAAUUUCAAUGCCCUGCUUUGCAAACAAAUGCUUGUUUAUUUUAAUUGUGUAAUGUCUCUCCUUGGGCUAUCAUUUUCUAUUUUUAUUGUCCCAAAGUAGGAUGAAAUAUUGUCCACAGUUGCUCAAAUGUCCUGGGUUGAAAGUAAAUUCUACCCAUUAAAGCUCUGAAGAUACUGUUGGGACGUUCUCUUAGACCAUUUUAAAUAAAGCUAAAAUGAUCCCCAAGGGACUGAUGGUUUCAAGACUUUUUUUUUUUUUUUUUUUUUUUGAGACGGAGUCUUGCUCUUAUCGCCCAGGCUGGAGUGCAGGUGCAGUCUUGGUUCACUGCAACCUCCGUCUCCUGGAUUCAAGCGAUUUUCCUGUCUCAGCCUCCCGAGUAGCUGGGAUUACAGAUGCCUGCCACCAUGUCCAGCUAAUUUUUGUACGUUUAGUAGAGACUGGGUUUCACCAUGUUUGCAGGCUGGUCUUGAACUCCUGACCUCAGGUGAUCUGCCCACCUCAGCCUCCCAAAGUGCUGGGAUUACAAGUGUGAGCCACGGCGCCCAGCCAGGACUUUUUUUUUUUUUUUAUUAUUGAUGUUGCACGUGAUUAUUCGAUUUACAUUUUUUCAAAUCUGUGAUAUAUCAAAGUGUAAUCCAUUUUUUGACUGGAUGUAAUCUCCUUUAAAUCUUAAAAAGAUUCAUGUUCUCUGAACGAUGCCACCAUAAUCGUGUUUACAUAUAGUGAGCAUGUAAACAAUUGAAAUGAAAACAAACACAUUCCAAAUGAGUGUGAAGGAGCCUCACUCAGGAAAAUGAAAGAAAUAUAAAAUACAUGUGUUUUCAUUUUUCAUAGGGAUUAUUAUUUUAAGAGUUGGAAUUGGUUUUUGAAAUAUGUUACAUUGUAGAAUACAUUCAACGUUUAUUUUCUGAGCCUUGCUAUGUGCUAAGCACUGUGGGGGAACACAGUAGUGAAUGAAAUCCUUGUGGCCUCUAGGGGAUUGUCAGUGGGGGCAAAUUACUAUAACACAGAGCAGAGCAACCUACGGUGAGUCCUGAAUUUUAAAGAAUCGUCUUUUUCACGAAAUCAGACUUUUUAAAUAGGUUGAGAGAAGAAUAAUGGAUUGAUUUAAUAACCUAUUGUGAUGGGAAAGUGUUUCAUUAGAAUAUUGUUAUCUCUCAUGUGCUAUUGCCAGGAGUUGAUCCUUAAACUUGAUAAAAGUGACAUUGUAUGAAGAGGUUGCAGGGAUCCCUUUUCGCCUCUCCUUAUCCACCAUUUACUCCUAUAUUUUCUUAGAGGGAUGUUGUGGCUUUGUCGUAAAAGUACAGGGUAUCCUAUGAUGAUUUUGAUGCAUAUUUUCAAUUGAGAAUGAUUUCUUUGGUUUGAAUGAAGGAAUGGACUCUGAGAGUAGGAUUUAUUUAGUGGUACAAUUGUAUCUGUCUUGCCUAAUUAUAGUUCUUUCUUCUAAGAUCCUCAAAGUGUGGCCUGUGCAGUAUAAAUGUAUCCAUUUGUUUAGUAUAUCUAAUUAAGUUCAUGGAUCAUUUCUAAAGCAGUGGUAAUCUGCCCAUUUAUUCAACUGAUUGUACGGUGACAUGCUGGAUUGGAUCAGUGGUUUAUGGGGCUUUUGCUCUGACAGAAAUGUUAAUGAAUGGAAAAAAAUGUUGAUAUCUCUCUAGAGAAUUUAAAGCUUAAUCUUAAUAAUACCUUAUACUUGUAAGACUGUUUAUAAUAGAACACUUGGAGAAUUCUCUUAUUUCAUUUCCCCAGAAUUUUAUUAAAUAGGUAGGGAAAGCAGAAUGUAUCUAUGCUUGGAGACUUGGGAUCAAACCUCUGCAUUAUUGUUACUUGUUGAAAAACCUAGUAACCUUUUUCUUUUCUUCUCUCUCUCUCUCUCUCUCUCUCUCUGUCACCAAGGCUGGAGUACAGUGGUGCAAUUUCAGCUCACUGCAACCUCCACCUCCUAAGUUCAGACAGUUCUCAUGUUUCAGCUUCCCAAGUAGCUAGGAUUACAGGCAUGUGCCACCACACCUGGCUAAUUUUUAUAUUUUUAGUAGAGAUGGGCUCUUGCCAUGUUAGCCAGGCUGGUCUCAAACUCCUGGUCUCAAGUGAUCUGCCUGCCUUGGCCUCCCAAGGUACAGUGAUUACAGGCAUGAACCACCAUGCCUGCCUCUAGUAACAUUUUAAAGUCUGUUCUUAUUUGUUUCUUUGUUUGAGACAGGGUCCUGCUCUGUUACCCAGGCUGGAGUGCAGUGGUGUGAUCAUGGCUCACUGCAGUCUGGUCCUCCUGAGCUCAAACGACCCUCCAGCCUUACCCUCCUGAGUAGCUGGGACUACAGUCAUGAACCACCAUGCCUGGCUAAUUUUUUUUUUCUUUGUAGAGAUGGGUUUUUGCCAUGUUGCCCAGGCUGGUCUCGAACUCCUGGGCUCAAGUUAUCCACCCACCUUGUCCUCCCAAAGUGCUGGGAUUACAGGCAUGAGCCAUCAUGCCUGACCUGUUCCCAUUUAUAAAGGGGAAUGAUAAUAGCUGUUCUUACCAGAGAGCUUUAAUUGAGGCUAAAAGCAAUAUAAAAAUACAUUUGCAGUCUUUCUUUACUUUGUAUCUUGACCUUUCAAUUCAUCAUAUGAAGAAACUUAUUAUCAGAGGUGGUAGGAGACCUGUCAAAGGUGGAAUAGAUAGUGACAGACAGACUUAGGUCCUCUUCUGACUCAAAGGUUUGAGUUUUUCCCCACUGAACUAAACUUUUGGGUAGGCACAAUAUCAACUGAUUGUUGAAAUGGAAACAAUUUUAUCUACUUUGAUUUCCCUCUCUGUUUUUAGAUAAAGGAGGGACAGAUGUUCAGAGGAAUGUAAUGGCUUUCUAAGUCAACAGCCUCCCAAGUGGUAGAUAACAGCAGUCUCGUAGCCAGAUGCGUCUUCCAGAGCUCUCUGCCUUCCCUGGCUCACUUUCUCGUCAUUCAAAUUAUUCUCUAGAAAAACGUCAUUUAAAGGUCAUCCUAUCAUAUCUCAAAGGCACUGCACUACCCCAGUUCAUUAGCUGAAACCCCCUAUUUCUCUUGGGUGCACCCCACUUUUCAGGGAAAGUAGAACCCACAAAAGUAGAACUUCCAAUAUUGAGCUGCUAAAGUGUUCCAGUAUUGGGCUUAAUUUACCAAGUUCAUAAUGACAAGCUGAAAAAGAGUAGUCCAAUUAAAAUCUGGAAACAGAUAUUAAUACAUUUUAAAGAAUAAGGAUAAUGAACAAUGCUAAAAUAACAUGUAGUGUGAAUCUGGUUGUAAAUAAAAAUUACCUUUAACAAAUUAUAUUCUAGUUAGUGUUUAUAUGCCAGGUUUCAACAUUGUAAGAUAUGUAUUUAUAUAACUGUAUACUUCAUGGAAGUACAGUAAACAUAUAUGUACUAAUAAUCCUUUCUUAAGAAUACCUGCCUGUUUAAAGGUCUUGUAGGUUGGAGGCAAAGUUGAUUUAUGUAACUUAUUAUUUAUUUAUUUGUAUUUUUUUGAGACAGAGUCUCACUCUGUCACCCAGCUGGAGUGCAGAGGCGUGAUCUCGGCCCACUGCAACCUCCGCCUCCCGGGUUCAAGUUAUUCUCCUACCUCAGCCUCCCGAGUAACUGGGAUUAGAGGCGCCCACCACCAUGGCGCCUGACUAAUUUUUGUAUUUUUAGUAGAGACGGGGUUUCACCAUGUUGGCCAGGUUGGUCUUGAACUCCUUACCUCAGGUGAUCUGCCCACCUUGGCCUCCCAAAGUUCUGGGAUUACGAGUGUGAGCCACCAGGCCCGGUCAAUUUAUAUAACAUAUUUAAUGUGUGAUUAUAGUUUGGCUAUUACUGGAUAAUCAUUUAAGGAUGCACAAGUUACUGGAUAACAGAACAAGAUAUGUCAAUCUAAGUUUCAAAUUUCAAAUGCUUGGAGACUGCCAGAAUUCAUAGAUUUGGAAGGGAAAUCCCUGGAACCAAAUCUCAGAAAGUUGGCCAGGUAGCCAAUGGUGGACGUUUUCUGUGAUGGACUUUUUGCCAUUGGAGCAGUAUCUUUGAACUGUUCUCAUCAGUACAGAGUUAUUUUUAUUUGGGCAAAAUCAGCCUUUUUGGUUCUCUAGAAACAAAUUAAAUUCAAUCCUUUUUUUUUUCUUUUUGGAGACGGAGUCUUGCUCUGUUGCCCAGGCUUGAGUGCAGUGGCAUGAUCUUGGCUCACUGUAAUUUCUGCCUCCCAGGUUCAGGCAAUUCUCCUACCUCAGCCUCUGGAGUAGCUGAGAUUACAGGCACAUGCCACUAUGCCCAGCUUAUUUUUGUAUUUUAGUAGAGAUGGGGUUUCACCAGGUUGUCCAGGCUGGUCUGGAAUUCCCAACCUAAGGUGAUCGGUCUGCCUUGGCCUCCCAAAGUGCUGGGAUUGCAGGUGUUAGCCACUGUGCCCAGCCUCCAAUCCUCCUUUCACAUGGUGGUCUUUAGAUAACUGAUUUUUGAGAACAGACACUGAUUCUCCUCUUAAUCUAGUUUUCCUCUAUUCUAGGCCAAUCAAGCCUAAGUUCCACACUCUUUUCUCUAUAUAAAAUGAUUUCCAUAUCAUUAUCCUAAGCUUUGAGAAUAAUGGUUUUUUCUUAAUUUUUAUUUUGCGCCACAGGGGUUUUCACCAAUUUUUAUUAUAAAAGGUUAAAAAAGACUUAAAGGCCGGGGAGGGUAGAUCACAGCUAUAAUCCCAGCACUUUGGGAGGCCAAGGCAGGUGUUCUGAGGUUAAGCGAUCGAGACUAUCCUGGUCAACAUGGUGAAACCCUGUCUCUAAUAAAAAUAUAAAAAUGAGCUGAGUGUGGUGGUGCGCCUGUAGUCCCAGCUACUCAGGAGGCUGAGGCCGGAGAAUCGCUUGAACUCGGGAGGCAGAGGUUGCAGUGAGCCAAGAUUGCACCACUGCACUCCAGCCUGGUGACAGAGCGAGACUCCAUCACACACACACACACACACACACACACACACACACAGACACACACACACACACACACACACACAAAGGGUUAAAGAUUACAGAAAGGAAUAAAAUGAAAAAAGUAAAGUAUUCUCUCCUCUCCCUGAUUCUUUAGGUCCUUGCCUCAGCGAUAAUGCCUAAAAGUUUCUGGAAAGAUUUUCAACAUACAACAUAAGUAUGUGUAAAUAUAUAUGCUAUAUACAUAUAUGUAUAUGUAUACCAUUAGAAUUAUAAUAAAAUACAGAUUCAAAGCUUAACCACAUACAUAUCUGUACAUUGUUCAAUAAUGCUUAAUGACAAAAAUAGCUACAAUUUAAUGAUUAUAAUUCAGGCAUUAUGCUAAACACUGUGCAUAUGGUAUCAUAUUUAACCCUUGUAAGAAUCCUGUAAGAUAAGUGAUAGUAAGCGUCCUCUUAUAGUUGAAUAAACCAAGGCACAGAGAGGUUAAGCAAGUUGCAUGAGGUUACACAGGCUCUACUUAUUCUUUUCUUUUUUUUUUUUUGAGACGGAGUCUCUCUCUGUCACCCAGGCUGGUGCAACUCUCUGUCGUCUCGGCUCACAGCAUCUCUCUCUGUCAUCUCGGCUCACGCCAACCUCUGCCUCUCGGGUUCAAGUGAUUCUUCUGCCUCAGCCUCCCAAGUAGCUGGGACUUACAGGCAUGCACCACCACACCCAGCUAAUUUUUUGUGUUUUAGUAGAGAUGGGGUUUCACCAUGUUGACCAGGAUGGUCUUAUCUCUUGACCUCGUGAUUUGCCCGCCUCAGCCUCCCAAAGUGCUGGGAUUACAGGUGUGAGCCAUCGCGCCUGGCCCAGGCUCUACUUAUUCUAUAUUGUGUAAAAUGUGAUAGAGAAAUGCCCAUAAGUUUGCAAAUGAAGAAUUUAGUGGUGAAUUUUUUAAUUUGCUUCUUUCUCUGAGGCAAGGAAAAUUAGGAGUGACUGAGAGAAUCAAAAUGAGUUGUUUUUGAAUCCCAUGAAACUACAAAUAUAUUUUCUUCACUUAAAUUUAAAGAAUUUAAAAACACUGGCUGACAGUGCCUGCGGGCUGUGCUGCCGGCUGUGGGGGUCCGGCACGUCUGCUGGGGGGCUUCCGACCAGUGGAGAGCCUCAGACCCACUCAAAUGUUCUUAACCUGGAAGAGGGAGUGCGUGGAAGAAAAGAUAGAUAGAAAGUGGGGUCUGGAGGACUGCCAGGCAAUGCCGGAGCAACAAGUGCCAAAGCAGCAAGUUUGUUUGUGCACACCACAGGUUAUAUACCUUUCAGUGCUUGAGGAGUGACGUACAUUCCAUUGUAUCUUGAAAUAAAAUCAAGAACAUAAAUCACAAGAAAAAGGGGUACAGAAAGUAUGACUCUUAUUCAUAGGGUGUACAGCAAAGGGACAAUAAAGUUUGCAAAAGGGGGUCAUAAAUCUAAACAUAUGUUUAUCUAAAAUCAGUCAAGCAAGUAAGAUCGUUAACAAGGUACAGCUGGACCUUUCCAAAUGUCAUUCUAACCUUGCCUAUUCAUAUAGGAUCAUAUGCAAACAAUAUGAUUGAGUUAGCAGUGGUAAACAAAGUCAUACAGUUAUUGUGCAGAGAAGGAACUAGGAGGCACACAAUGUCUAACCAUACAAUGUCUCGUUAGACCACAAGGCCUGAGCUCAGCCAUCCUGUUGCAAAUGUCAGAGGCAAAGAUUGAUGUUUAUAAAAUCAGUGCAACCAGACUUCCUCUUUUCCUUUAGCUCAACAGCCUCCAGGAGAGGAGAAACGUGUAUGGGCUCAAGCUCAAGAUGGUGAGGGUCCUGUCAAGGGCCCUUUGCAGGAGCGAUCCCCAGAGCUGGCUAAGGUGCUGGGGUGCUGGGGGUGGGGCGAGGACCAGUGUAGCCUCUGGGCCUUGUUGUGCCCUGGCGCCACCCAGACAUUGCUCAGGCCGCUUGUACCAUGAAGAUCUGGACUUGAGAGCACAUCUUCAACAACUCGUGGGAAAUUGCUACAACAGCUGCAAUGCAGAAAUAACCAAACCCUAUGGACCCAAGCGUGGUUGGAGUUGAUGUGUUGGACAGACAUAUAGAUCCCUCUGGAAAAUUGCACAGCCACAGACUUCUCAGUACACGGUAGGGACUGCCUUUCAUUGUGAAGCCUUUUAUUCUUAGUGGUGCAGCAAGAACGAAACAUAUGUGCACGAAUAUUCUGUAGUUGAUCCUGUAGAGAAAACAAUGGAACUUAACUCUACUAAUAUUUCAUUUACAAAUAUGGUUUCAGUAUAUGAAACUUAUACACAAACCAAAUCCUCAGGACCCAGAAAAAACUGUUUUGACUCAAGAAGCCAUAAUCACCAUGAAAGGAGUUAACCUCAGCAGUUACCUUGAAGGUCUGAUGGCAAGUAUGACAUCCGCAAACGCUGGUAAAGGCUGAGAAGCAAUGGAAUGGAUAAUACAUAAAUUAAAUGCCAAGAUUGAAGAACUGACAGCCUCGGGAAGAGGAAGCAUAACAACUCCAGGGGCAGCAGCAGCAUUUGCCGAGAAGUGAUCAUGGAAGUUGGUAGAGACGUGGGGUACCCCAGGUCUCUCCAAGCUGACUACAUAUUUAUGUGUUACUUUAAAAAUACAACUAUAUUUUAGAUAGAUUUUUUUUUGAUAAGUUGGUGUAAGGCUAUGUGACUUGAUCAAAUCAGUUGCAGGGCCUCUAAAUAAAAGAGAUCAUCUUAAAUUAAUAUUGUUUGAAAUUACUAUCUGAUCUUGAGAGUUCCAGUAUUUCUAUGAAAAUUCAACAAGAACUCCUUGGAAAUUGGUAUUGAUAUUGAAUCUCCUUAAGGUAGAAUUUUCAAUCUUUUGAAACGUUGGAACGCCACCUGACUUUGGCCAACCCCAGAACAGAGUAGAGUCACCUCCUAUAGACACUCAUUGCCCUGCUGCUGUACACUUCAACAUCUUGCCAAAGGCAACUCACUUAAAAGGAGAAAUUGUGUAGUUUUAAAAUAUAGUUUGUGUAAAAUAACUUGCUCUGCUAUAAGCCACCAUUAAAAACCAGUGUUUUAAUUUGGUACUUAAAUAUUUUUGGAGUGAAAAUUAUCACUAAAGUAACCUGACUUGAACAAAAGUACGGUUUCAUUAUAUUAAAGAGUACUGUAUUGAUUUGUCAAAGGUUUGUAACUUAGUAAAGGUAUUCACUUUCUUAGGUUUGUACUUUGUGAUUUAGUAUGCUGUACCGUGGGCUGGUUACGUUAACUGAAAAAAAUAAAGUCAUUACCUGAGUUUUGCAGUGCUCUAACUUAAACAGAAGAACAGCUGUUCACAUUUUUUAGCAUUUCAUAUUUGCCUAACUUAAAAAUUGCCAUGUGUCAAAAUCAUGUUUUGGUAAUUGCUAAGGCAUGAUAUGUCAGGUUAUUUGAAUAUAAUUACUUUUUGAAGUAAUUGUGACCACAAAACAUCUUUUUCUACAUGAAGGAGCUGUGCAUCAUUUGAAAUUACUCAAAUGAUGUCUUACUCUGAAGCAUAACCCCCAGGUACUUAAAGUUUUUAAUAAUAUGGUGCCACUUCAGGAUUUGGGGGCAGUGAGGAAGAACAAGGAUAAUGGUGAGGGGAGGCUUGGUCUGAGGCUGAGUGAAUUGCACUGCAGCUUUUGUCUACGGGAAUUCCUUAUUUGGUAUGUCAGAGGGCAGUGGCAAGCUGAAAAACAAUCCAGUAAAUGUACUUUGUUUUAUAUUUUGUAGCAGGCAAUUAUCAACCACUAAAUAAUAGCUUUGACAUUUGCAGUUGUUGCACAGAGAGUAUUUUUGCUAGAAGAUGAUUAGCUCUUGCCUUUAUUUUACAGUGUUUAGUGUGAUAAGCUUCUGCCUAUCAAAGAGGCCAGUUAAUACAUAAACCACAGAAACAGUAUAACAAACUAUUUUUAAAUUAUCAUUUUCCUGCUUAAAAAUUGUUUAGCUUAAAACUUGUUAAGACAUUUGCAAAAGCAGGUUAAAUUUAAUUAAGGUUUGCGAUUUUUUUUUUUUUUGUAACUGGAGAUAGUUUUUACAAGUGAAAUAGCAUUUCAGCUAAAUAAAACAUUGCUAAAUAAUUUCUGCAAAUUAUACUUGUUCUGAGAAAGGUGUAAUGCCCUAAUAAUAAGAGAUUUUUAAACAAAUCCUUAUCCUUUUUUUUUUUUUUUUUUUGGUAGAGCCUCGCUCUGUUCCCAGUCUGGAGUACAGUGGCACAAUCCCAGCUCACUCCAACUUCCAUUUUCUGCUUUCAAGCAAUUCUCCUGCCUAGCCUCCCAAGUAGCUGGGAUUACAGGCACGCACCACCACUCCCGGCUAAUUUUUUUUUGUAUUUUUAGUAGAGACGGUGUUUCACCAUGUUGGACAGGAUGGUCUCGAUCUCCUGACCUCGUGAUCCACCCGCCUCGGCCUCCCAAAGUGCUGGGAUUACAGGCUUACGCCAAUGCGCCCGGCCUAUCCCUUGAUUUUUUUAAACUCUGAUCUAAUGAUAAAACUAUAAAUUUUCAUUUUCUAGUGCAGUUAGUUGCCUUUUUUGAAAUAGCUGGUAAUUUAUAGCUCUUACCUGUUAAACAUAAAUGCACAGCAAGCAAAUGAACUUAAGAGGACUAAACUGGAGUAAGUGUUCAUAAAUGAAACCUUGGGGUAUUGAAUACUAAAAUUGAAAUGUGGAUUAAGAAAAAAAAGAAUUUAAAAACACUGGAAAUGAAGGCGACAGCAAAACCAGCAUUGAAUAAAGCUGAUUAAGACUUGAUAUGGCAUUGAGAGAACAAUAUAAUUGAUGCAGCAUUAUAUGUUUUUGGAAAAAUACCUUGCAAAUGAAAAUGGAUCCCCACUGCUCUUAGGAUAAAUUCCAGGGUAUUGUUAACAGGUCAUCAGAAGCCCUUUGUGGUACCUCUGAAAGGGAGCCCAAGAAAACUUGUUGUCUCUCCACUGGUAGAUCCCCUCCCCAGCCUGAACUUCUAUCUUUAUGUUUUUGCAUAUGCUGUUCCCUCAGUGGGGGCCAACUUAUCCCAUAGCUCCCUGGAUACCCACUUUUCCAGGUUAUCUCCUACUCAUUCUUCAGGGCUUGGCUUAGAUAAUCCUUAAUUCCAAGCUGUAUGCAAUGGUCAUUCUCCAUGCUCCUCAGCAGCCUGUACUUCCCUAUCACAACUCUCAUCAUACUGAGUUGUGAUAUGCUGCCUGGCCUGUCUCUCCCUCUAGUCUGUAAGUAAAGUUCAGAGCAAGGCUGGGUCUUAUUCUCCUUUGUAUUCUUGUCAUUGCUUGGCAUUUAUUAGGAGCCUGAUAAAUGCUUGUUGAAUGCACAAAAGCAUGAACGGAUUUUGAAUUUUUAAAAGGGCAUUCAUAAUGAAAUAUGCCCAUCCAAAUCUAAAAAUAAGCAUAUAGCUAGGUUUUAACAGAAAUGAGGCCAGGUUUGAGAGAAAUGUAACUGUUGGUCAAAAGCUAGACCAAUUCAGUUAUGAGCACUUUUUUUUCAUAUACAAAGGCACUGGAAAUGAAAGAAAGAUGAUUAAUGUAUAGCUUAGACCCUCAACAGUUUUCUAAUAUAGAUAGACAUGUCAAGAAAAGAAUUAGCUUACCAAAAGACUGUGCUUUUUCGACCAACAAAAACAAUUUACUGGAUGAUUCAUCUUAAAGCUAACUCUUGUUUAGCCAGAAAAAGGGAACUCAAAAUGUAUAUUUUUUUCAUGAACUAACGAUAGAUUACUUUUAUCUAUAGAUCUGUGUGUUUCUUAAUCAGUAUCAUUAAGUUUUAAUCUUAGCCAUUUUCAGGUUUAAUAUUAAAAGUUCUUUGUAUCAUCUCUGGCUGUCUGUAGUUGUGUAUAAGUUUUCUGCUGACUUACUGCUUUUUAAAAUCCGUGCUCACCAUCUUGAACCCCUUUUGGAAAAAACCUAUGUUUGAGAUGGAUGAAGAAUCCUGGAGUUUAGAUAGUGCAUUUCCUUUUUGCAAAAUGUAUAACUCUGAAAAAACUAAAUUACAGUUAUUGGAUAUUAAACAGCUAUUCCUGAAAUUUACUUGGAAGCUUUUGACAGAGUAGCUCAGUAUCUGAGAAGUUGUUUUUCAUGGUCCAAGGAAUUAGGAAGUUCCAUAACAUGUGCCAAGGGAUCUGGCAAUUUCUACUACCUUUAGUUGCUUUAUCUGAGAUAUCACAGGUCAUGGUCUAGAUGCAAAAAUAUCUUUUUAUUUCAAUAAUACAUCAGAACAUAAUUUUAAAUGUACUAGAGAGAAACUUUAAAUUAAAAUUCAAAUGUGUGUGAUAUUAGCAGUGCAAAUAUCACCACCAAGGAAGCAAGCAGAUGAGCCAGUGCCUCCUGUGCAGUGUCGAGUUUGCCUGUGCAGAAAAUCACCUCGGUGUAUUGUGGUGUAGUACACCUGGGAGCUGGCAAGUGUGUUUGGCAUACAUUGUAAUCCACUUCCUGAUUUUAGAAGUGUUAUGCUGUGCAAAAAGUGCAAUUAGAAUUGGAGAUAUUUGACAAAAGACAGUGUGAAUAAAUAGUGUAAUAAUAGUUAUAUAAAGUACUAUAGGAGUGCAGAAGAAGGAACCAUAAUUUUAACCAGGAAGACUAAGGAAGGCCACAGUGGAAGUUGAUAUUUGAGCCAGAAAUCCGUAGGGAAAGAAGGAAAGAAAACUUGUUUUGGGCUUCCGGCUAAUGCACAGUGGCAUCAUAGUGCAUGGUAUGUUGAGAGCACUGCAUUAGGCUUGAAGCUGGAGCCCAGAUGGGUGGAAGGUACUUUAGCAGAUGGUGCUGGGAAGAUAAGACCCCGGUCAUGGUGAGUCUGCUGAGGAGGCUGGACUUUAUUCUGCAGGCAGUGGAAGGCCACUGAAGAUUUGGGGACAGAGGUGAGGUAGGGCUGACUUACCUACUAGACACAGUGUGUAGGAAGCACAAUCAUUUUAGGGUCGACAAAAAUAUUUACAUUUUAAUUGCCUUUAAAGCCAGAAUAAAAUAAAUAAGCACAACAAUAAUGAAUUCAUCUUUAUUCAAAUGCAGUCAUUAUAAUAUAUGGGUUUUUUUUUACCCCUAUUAAUAGAGGAAUAGGUCCAUGAAGGUAAAAAUGCCUACGGCCUACAAAAGUCAUACUGGAGCCCCAGGGAAAAGAGGGCAAAAUGUGAAUCCUGGAGAUAAUUGACAGCUGUGUAAGGAUGAAUCCCACCUGUGGUUCCCAACUGUGUCCUGGCUACAUCAGAUUUACUUGAUUAAACACAGAUUCCCUACUAUGCAGCCAUUAAAAGGAACCAGAUCAUGUUGUUUGCAGAGACAUGGAUGGAGCUGGAAGCUGUUAUUCUCAGCACACUAAUGCAGCAACAGAAAACCAAACACCACAUGUUCUCAGUUAUAAGUGGGAGCUGAAGAUGAAAACACAUGGACACAUGGCAGAGAACAACACACACUGGGGCUUGUCAGGGUGUCAGGUGGGGUAGGGGGAAGGAGAGCAUCAGGAAGAAUAGCUAAUGGAUAAUGGCCUAACACCUAGGUGAUGGGUUGAUCUGUGCAGCAAACCAUCGUGGCACACGUUUACCUAUGUAACAAACCUGUACAUCCUGCACAUGUACCCCAGAACUUAAAAGUUGAAGGAAAAAAAACACAGAUUCCAGGGCCCCAGGCAGGCAUGCUUGAUUUAGGAGGAAGGGGAGGGGUAUGCUAGAAGACAGAGCUGGCCUGUGGAGGACCAGGAAAACAAUCGAAUGGCAGUUUAGCUGAUGACUGAGAAACCACAAAGGCCCUAGCCAGGGCAGUGCCAGUGAGACUGGGAAAAAAAGGGAGCCUGGGGAAGCAUCACACAGGUGAAUGACAGACUGACAACCAACCAGUGGUAGGGUGUGAGGUACAGGAGAUGCCUGGAUGGCAGCAGGAGAAGAGGUAGUAUUUCUAGUCUCAGCCAGAAGUGGAAAAUGUGACCAACUGUUUUUCUCUGCUGCAAGCUCACCAUGAACACCUCAGCCUGUGGAAGGGCUGAGGAUACUGUCAGCUUGGCACAAGCUUUCACCAGGCUUUCAGCAUUUUGGUAGACUGCCCAUUAGGCUGUGCAGAUGCCCAGGGGAGUGCUGUGGAGGGGUGAGAGGCAGGAGCAGUCCCUGUGUUUGCCUUGAGGAGGAGUAAGAUAAUGGGCAGAAAUGCUAGAACUGAAGCUCUGUGGCUCUGGGCUGAGUUCAGGCCUGAGGCCCGAGGCCAGGAUGGUGUUGGUGUCGGGUGGCCCCUUCUCAGUGGGAGAGCCCUAGGCCCUGGUUACUUGCUUGCUUGCUGAUGGAGACACAGGAAGAAUAAUCAAACACCUGAGAAACUUGGAAGAUGAUUAUUGAAACUAGAAUUUUUUUUUUCUUCAGAAUUCUCUGAAAAA